rnacentral:tRNA from 3 species
CCCCCUGUAGUUUAAUGGAUAAAACUGCGGACUUCUAAGCCGCUGAUCGAGGUUCGAUUCCUCGCGGGGGGACCA